AUGCAUGUCUCAGUGCAUGCCGUAUUAAGGUGAAACCGCGAAUGGCUCAUUAAAUCAGUUAUGGUUCCUUAGAUCGUACCCACAUUUACUUGGAUAACUGUGGUAAUUCUAGAGCUAAUACAUGCAAACCAGAGUUCCGACCGGAGACGGAAGGAACGCUUUUAUUAGAUCAAAACCAGUCGUUGGCGGGUUUCCCGACCAACGUUUACCUUGGUGACUCUGAAUAACUUUGUGCUGAUCGCAUGGUCUCGCACCGGCGACGCAUCUUUCAAAUGUCUGCCUUAUCAACUGUCGAUGGUAGGUUCUGCGCCUACCAUGGUUGUAACGGGUAACGGGGAAUCAGGGUUCGAUUCCGGAGAGGGAGCCUGAGAAACGGCUACCACAUCCAAGGAAGGCAGCAGGCGCGCAAAUUACCCACUCCCGGCACGGGGAGGUAGUGACGAAAAAUAACGAUACGGGACUCAUCCGAGGCCCCGUAAUCGGAAU
rnacentral:rRNA from 1 species